rnacentral:rRNA from 1 species
UUAAGCGACUAAGCGUACACGGUGGAUGCCCUGGCAGUCAGAGGCGAUGAAGGACGUGCUAAUCUGCGAAAAGCGCCGGCGAGGUGAUAUGAACCUUUGACCCGGCGAUGUCCGAAUGGGGAAACCCAGUGCAAUCCGUUGCACUAUCGUUAACUGAAUACAUAGGUUAACGAGGCGAACCGGGGGAACUGAAACAUCUAAGUACCCCGAGGAAAAGAAAUCAACCGAGAUUCCCCCAGUAGCGGCGAGCGAACGGGGAGCAGCCCGGAGUCUGAAUCAGCUUGUGUGUUAGUGGAACGGUCUGGAAAGUCCGACGGUACAGGGUGAUAGUCCCGUACACGAAAAUGCACAUGCUGUGAACUCGAAGAGUAGGGCGGGACACGUGGUAUCCUGUCUGAAUAUGGGGGGACCAUCCUCCAAGGCUAAAUACUCCUGACUGACCGAUAGUGAACCAGUACCGUGAGGGAAAGGCGAAAAGAACCCCGGCGAGGGGAGUGAAAAAGAACCUGAAACCGUGUACGUACAAGCAGUGGGAGCCUCUUUAUGGGGUGACUGCGUACCUUUUGUAUAAUGGGUCAGCGACUUAUAUUCUGUAGCAAGGUUAACCGUAUAGGGGAGCCGAAGGGAAACCGAGUCUUAACUGGGCGUUAAGUUGCAGGGUAUAGACCCGAAACCCGGUGAUCUAGCCAUGGGCAGGUUGAAGGUUGGGUAACACUAACUGGAGGACCGAACCGACUAAUGUUGAAAAAUUAGCGGAUGACCUGUGGCUGGGGGUGAAAGGCCAAUCAAACCGGGAGAUAGCUGGUUCUCCCCGAAAGCUAUUUAGGUAGCGCCUCGUGAACUCAUCUUCGGGGGUAGAGCACUGUUUCGGCUAGGGGGCCAUCCCGGCUUACCAACCCGAUGCAAACUACGAAUACCGAAGAAUGUUAUCACGGGAGACACACGGCGGGUGCUAACGUCCGUCGUGAAGAGGGAAACAACCCAGACCGCCAGCUAAGGUCCCAAAGUCAUGGUUAAGUGGGAAACGAUGUGGGAAGGCACAGACAGCCAGGAUGUUGGCUUAGAAGCAGCCAUCAUUUAAAGAAAGCGUAAUAGCUCACUGGUCGAGUCGGCCUGCGCGGAAGAUGUAACGGGGCUAAACCAUGCACCGAAGCUGCGGCAGCGACACUAUGUGUUGUUGGGUAGGGGAGCGUUCUGUAAGCCGUUGAAGGUGUGCUGUGAGGCAUGCUGGAGGUAUCAGAAGUGCGAAUGCUGACAUAAGUAACGAUAAAGCGGGUGAAAAGCCCGCUCGCCGGAAGACCAAGGGUUCCUGUCCAACGUUAAUCGGGGCAGGGUGAGUCGACCCCUAAGGCGAGGCCGAAAGGCGUAGUCGAUGGGAAACAGGUUAAUAUUCCUGUACUUGGUGUUACUGCGAAGGGGGGACGGAGAAGGCUAUGUCAGCCGGGCGACGGUUGUCCCGGUUUAAGCAUGUAGGCGGAGGUUCCAGGUAAAUCCGGUACCUUAUUAACGCUGAGGUGUGAUGACGAGGCACUACGGUGCUGAAGUGAUAAAUGCCCUGCUUCCAGGAAAAGCCUCUAAGCAUCAGGUAACACGAAAUCGUACCCCAAACCGACACAGGUGGUCAGGUAGAGAAUACCAAGGCGCUUGAGAGAACUCGGGUGAAGGAACUAGGCAAAAUGGUGCCGUAACUUCGGGAGAAGGCACGCUGAUGUGUAGGUGAAGCCCCUGCGGGUGGAGCUGAAAUCAGUCGAAGAUACCAGCUGGCUGCAACUGUUUAUUAAAAACACAGCACUGUGCAAACACGAAAGUGGACGUAUACGGUGUGACGCCUGCCCGGUGCCGGAAGGUUAAUUGAUGGGGUUAGCGGCAACGCGAAGCUCUUGAUCGAAGCCCCGGUAAACGGCGGCCGUAACUAUAACGGUCCUAAGGUAGCGAAAUUCCUUGUCGGGUAAGUUCCGACCUGCACGAAUGGCGUAAUGAUGGCCAGGCUGUCUCCACCCGAGACUCAGUGAAAUUGAACUCGCUGUGAAGAUGCAGUGUACCCGCGGCAAGACGGAAAGACCCCGUGAACCUUUACUAUAGCUUGACACUGAACACUGGUCCUUGAUGUGUAGGAUAGGUGGGAGGCUUUGAAGCGUGGACGCCAGUCUGCGUGGAGCCAACCUUGAAAUACCACCCUUUAAUGGCUGGUGUUCUAACGUAGACCCGUAAUCCGGGUUGCGGACAGUGUCUGGUGGGUAGUUUGACUGGGGCGGUCUCCUCCCAAAGAGUAACGGAGGAGCACGAAGGUUGGCUAAUCCUGGUCGGACAUCAGGAGGUUAGUGCAAUGGCAUAAGCCAGCUUGACUGCGAGCGUGACGGCGCGAGCAGGUGCGAAAGCAGGUCAUAGUGAUCCGGUGGUUCUGAAUGGAAGGGCCAUCGCUCAACGGAUAAAAGGUACUCCGGGGAUAACAGGCUGAUACCGCCCAAGAGUUCAUAUCGACGGCGGUGUUUGGCACCUCGAUGUCGGCUCAUCACAUCCUGGGGCUGAAGUAGGUCCCAAGGGUAUGGCUGUUCGCCAUUUAAAGUGGUACGCGAGCUGGGUUUAGAACGUCGUGAGACAGUUCGGUCCCUAUCUGCCGUGGGCGCUGGAGAAUUGAGGGGGGCUGCUCCUAGUACGAGAGGACCGGAGUGGACGCAUCACUGGUGUUCGGGUUGUCAUGCCAAUGGCACUGCCCGGUAGCUAAAUGCGGAAGAGAUAAGUGCUGAAAGCAUCUAAGCACGAAACUUGCCCCGAGAUGAGUUCUCCCUGAGACUUUAAGUCUCCUGAAGGAACGUUGAAGACGACGACGUUGAUAGGUCGGGUGUGUAAGCGCAGCGAUGCGUUGAGCUAACCGAUACUAAUGAACCGUGAGGCUUAACCUU